rnacentral:rRNA from 1 species
GAACGGGUGAGUAACACGUGGGUAACCUGCCCUGUACUCUGGGAUAAGCCCGGGAAACUGGGUCUAAUACCGGAUAUGACCUCUGAUCGCAUGAUCGGGGGUGGAAAGUUCCGGCGGUAUGGGAUGGACCCGCGGCCUAUCAGCUUGUUGGUGGGGUAAUGGCCUACCAAGGCGACGACGGGUAGCCGGCCUGAGAGGGUGACCGGCCACACUGGGACUGAGACACGGCCCAGACUCCUACGGGAGGCAGCAGUGGGGAAUAUUGCACAAUGGGCGAAAGCCUGAUGCAGCGACGCCGCGUGAGGGAUGACGGCCUUCGGGUUGUAAACCUCUUUCAGCAGGGACGAAGCGCAAGUGACGGUACCUGCAGAAGAAGCACCGGCUAACUACGUGCCAGCAGCCGCGGUAAUACGUAGGGUGCGAGCGUUGUCCGGAAUUAUUGGGCGUAAAGAGCUCGUAGGCGGUUUGUCGCGUCGGCCGUGAAAACUUGGGGCUUAACCCCGAGCCUGCGGUCGAUACGGGCAGACUUGAGUUCGGCAGGGGAGACUGGAAUUCCUGGUGUAGCGGUGAAAUGCGCAGAUAUCAGGAGGAACACCGGUGGCGAAGGCGGGUCUCUGGGCCGAUACUGACGCUGAGGAGCGAAAGCG